GUGAGAUGCAGUGUAUGGAAUGUCAAAUUUCUAGUAUGAGAAAUUAACGAUUUAAGUCCUUCUUAAAUGAGGCCAUUUACCCAAAGAGGGUGCCAGGCCCGUAUAACGUUAAUGAUUACUAGAUGACAUUUCCAAAGAGUCGUGUUGCUUGAUAGUGCAGCACUAAGUGGGUGGUAAACUCCAUCUAAAACUAAAUAUAACCAUGAGACCGAUAGUAAACAAGUACCGUGAGGGAAAGUUGAAAAGAACUCUGAAUAGAGAGUUAAAUAGUACGUGAAACUGCUUAGAGGUUAAGCCCGAUGAACCUGAAUAUCCUUUAUGGAAAAUUCAUCAUUAUGAUUUUAAUAUUAAUAAUAUUAUAAUAAUGGUGUGCAUUUUUUCCAUAUAUGGACAUUGUAAUCUAUUAAUAAAAACAAUAUUUAUUAUAAGAUCUUAGCUUUUGUUUAUUCAAAUUAUUAUGCUUGCAUUUUAACAUAGAAUAAGUGCUUUUGAUUUGAUAAAGUGUUGAUAGAUUUAUUAUAUAUAGUGCUUGAAUAUUUAUAUUCUAUAAUGGCAUAUUGAUCAUUGAUCUUUGUGUUUAUAUUAUAUGCACUUAUAUGAUUAACAAUGCGAAAGAUUCAGGAUACCUUCGGGACCCGUCUUGAAACACGGACCAAGGAGUCUAACAUAUUUGCAAGUUAUUGGGAAUUAAAAACCUAAUAGCGAAAUUAACAUAACUUAUAUAAUGGGAUUAGUUUUUAGUACUAUUUAUAGUCUAUUAAUUCAAUCCCGGGGCGUUCUAUACAGUUAUGUAUAAUAAUAUUUAUAUUAUUUAUACCUCUAACUAGAGCGUACCUUGAGCAUAUAUGCUGUGACCCGAAAGAUGGUGAACUAUACUUGAUCAGGUUGAAGUCAGGGGAAACCCUGAUGGAAGACCGAAACAGUU
rnacentral:rRNA from 1 species